GCUUGUUUGUCUUAUUUACAUUUGUGUUGUGAGUGGGCAUUAGAAUAAUUCCAUGGCAUUUCAGCAGAAAACUCAGGGACCAAGAUUAAGGAAAUUAAUAGUUACCUGACUUAGGGAAAAUAUUUUGAAAAAUAUUUUGAAAAUUAUAUCAUUGUGUGGUGGUUUUACUGUGCUGGGCAGCUAAACCCCACAACCGCUCUCUCACUCCCCCUCUUUUAGAUGAGGAGGGGGAGAAGUAAAGCAAAGAACAACUCACGGGUUGAGAUAAGGAUAAUUUAAUUAAAGGGAAAUAAUAAUAAUUAAAUAAAGAUUAUUAUGAACUAAACAAUUUAACUAAAGGGAAAUAAAAAGGGAAAGGGGAAAAGGGAAAAGAGAGGGGGAAAGGGAAAAAAUAAAAAGAAGGGAGGAAAACAAACAAAUAAAAUAAAUGAAGGCUAUAUGGAAGUGCAGAGGAAAGAAAUUACUCUCUACUUCCCACAAAUGAGCGAUGAUUGACCACAUCCUUGAAGCAGGGCCUCAAUGCACAUAGCCAGUGUUCGAGAGGAGGACCGACAUUUUCCCAACGAGAGCCCACCCCUCCCCUCUUCCACCUUUUAUUGCUGAGUGUGACAUCACAUGGUAUGGAAUAUCCCUUUGAUUGGUUUAGGUCAGCUGCCCUAGUGAUCUUUCUCUCCUCACUUUUUGCCCACCCCCUAGGAGGGUUAGAGAGAGGCCCGAUGCUGUGUCACUGCUGCUCAGCAGUAAACACAACACUGGUGUGAUAACACUGCUGUUCCAGCUACAAGUGCAGAGUACGGCACUGUAUGGGCUGCUGCCGGGAAAGUUAACAUUCCAGCCAGACCCAGUACACAUUGGGCAAUGUUAAAAAAGAUUUCCUUGCAAUUUUUGGCAACAUCUUGCCAGUCUCGUUGCACUGAGUAGAAUGGAAUGACCACUUUUUUGUGCACUAAAAUGUCUAAGCUAGCAUUAGGGAGCCAAUCUAUUGGGGGGACAAGGCAGUACACUUUUUCCCAGUUCUUCACUCUUCCUUUUUGCUUCUCCUCCAGCUUCUACUCCAGGCUAGUUACAAAAACUCUUCAAAACUUGUAUCCUUGUUCAAAGCAUCAUGUUCCUAUCAUUAUGUCUCCUGAAUGCUUUUCAGGUGCUGUUUAAGGUUAAAAUUUAAGAAUGCCAUCAAGAAAUUUAUCCUGAGGCACGAUAGUUAUGAGUGGCAUGGAGUGUGGGAGGAUAUGAGUAGGCACCUAUAACAGUGGCCAUCUUCUGUGCUUUGGAACUUAACUCCUGAACAGUGCAGAAUCCUAAUAAAUAAAUAAAUAAAUGAAAUGGUAAAAUGCUU
rnacentral:lncRNA from 1 species